rnacentral:rRNA from 1 species
GACGUAGGGUGCGAGCGUUUGUCCGGAUUUAUUGGGCGUAAAGAGCUCGUAGGCGGCUCGUCGCGUCGACCGUGAAAACCCGCAGCUUAACUGCGGGCCUGCGGUUGAUACGGGCGGGCUAGAGUUCGGUAGGGGAGACUGGAAUUCCUGGUGUAGCGGUGAAAUGCGCAGAUAUCAGGAGGAACACCAAUGGCGAAGGCAGCUCGCUGGAACGGUACUGACGCUGAGGCGCGAAAGCGUGGGGGAGCGAACAGG